rnacentral:rRNA from 1 species
GAUGAACGCUGGCGGCGUGCCUAAUACAUGCAAGUCGAGCGAACAGACGAGGAGCUUGCUCCUCUGACGUUAGCGGCGGACGGGUGAGUAACACGUGGAUAACCUACCUAUAAGACUGGGAUAACUUCGGGAAACCGGAGCUAAUACCGGAUAAUAUAUUGAACCGCAUGGUUCAAUAGUGAAAGACGGUUUUGCUGUCACUUAUAGAUGGAUCCGCGCCGCAUUAGCUAGUUGGUAAGGUAACGGCUUACCAAGGCAACGAUGCGUAUCCGACCUGAGAGGGUGAUCGGCCACACUGGAACUGAGACACGGUCCAGACUCCUACGGGAGGCAGCAGUAGGGAAUCUUCCGAAAUGGGCGAAAGCCUGACGGAGCAACGCCGCGUGAGUGAUGAAGGUCUUCGGAUCGUAAAACUCUGUUAUUAGGGAAGAACAAAUGUGUAAGUAACUAUGCACGUCUUGACGGUACCUAAUCAGAAAGCCACGGCUAACUACGUG